GAGCUUGCUCCCGGAUGUUAGCGGCGGACGGGUGAGUAACACGUGGGUAACCUGCCUGUAAGACUGGGAUAACUCCGGGAAACCGGAGCUAAUACCGGAUAGUUCCUUGAACCGCAUGGUUCAAGGAUGAAAGACGGUUUCGGCUGUCACUUACAGAUGGACCCGCGGCGCAUUAGCUAGUUGGUGGGGUAAUGGCUCACCAAGGCGACGAUGCGUAGCCGACCUGAGAGGGUGAUCGGCCACACUGGGACUGAGACACGGCCCAGACUCCUACGGGAGGCAGCAGUAGGGAAUCUUCCGCAAUGGACGAAAGUCUGACGGAGCAACGCCGCGUGAGUGAUGAAGGUUUUCGGAUCGUAAAGCUCUGUUGUUAGGGAAGAACAAGUGCGAGAGUAACUGCUCGCACCUUGACGGUACCUAACCAGAAAGCCACGGCUAACUACGUGCCAGCAGCCGCGGUAAUACGUAGGUGGCAAGCGUUGUCCGGAAUUAUUGGGCGUAAAGGGCUCGCAGGCGGUUUCUUAAGUCUGAUGUGAAAGCCCCCGGCUCAACCGGGGAGGGUCAUUGGAAACUGGGAAACUUGAGUGCAGAAGAGGAGAGUGGAAUUCCACGUGUAGCGGUGAAAUGCGUAGAGAUGUGGAGGAACACCAGUGGCGAAGGCGACUCUCUGGUCUGUAACUGACGCUGAGGAGCGAAAGCGUGGGGAGCGAACAGGAUUAGAUACCCUGGUAGUCCACGCCGUAAACGAUGAGUGCUAAAGUGUUAGGGGGUUUCCGCCCCUUAGUGCUGCAGCUAACGCAUUAAGCACUCCGCCUGGGGGAGUACGGUCGCAAGACUGAAACUCAAAGGAAUUGACGGGGGCCCGCACAAGCGGUG
rnacentral:rRNA from 1 species